GAUGAAGAACGCAGCGAAAUGCGAUAAGUAGUGUGAAUCGCAGAAUUCAGUGAAUCAUCGAAUCUUUGAACGCACAUUGCGCCCGCUGGUAUUCCGGCGGGCAUGCCUGUUCGAGCGUCAUUUCAACCCUCAAGCCCCCGGGUUUGGUGUUGGGGAUCGGCUCUGCCCUUCUGGGCGGUGCCGCCCCCGAAAUACAUUGGCGGUCUCGCUGCAGCCUCCAUUGCGUAGUAGCUAACACCUCGCAACUGGAACGCGGCGCGGCCAUGCCGUAAAACCCCAACUUCUGAAUGUUGACCUCGGAUCAGGUAGGAAUACCCGCUGAACUUAAGCAUAUCAAUAAGCGGAGGA
rnacentral:misc_RNA from 1 species